CUACAAGCGGUACCACGGGAUUUCCCUUGUGGUCCUGAUCUACAUCAUUCCUGCCACCCUGGCACCAAGCCAGCUGCCUGCCAACACACCUACCGGUCAUGGAUCUGCUGGGACCUAUCUCAGCUACCUUCAGGGGGCAGGCAAGAGUACACCCUGAACUGGUCGCCAGCAGAGAUUCAGCGGCUGAUCCAAGUUCGCGUUCGGGCUUUUCUACAAUAAUAAUAAGUGGAGGAAAAGAAACUCUGGAUUAUGCCUUUAAGAGGGACAAUGACAUAACUGUUUUUCUU